rnacentral:lncRNA from 1 species
UGUCUCUCAAGUACCAAUUAGCAUUAGAUGAUAUGAAAAUUAGAGACUUCCCACACCUUGCUAUACAUAUAAACAUAAUUAUCAAUUUAUAACGAAAUUUUCGAGUACUAUAUUUGAAUAUAAUACACUUAUCUGAUAGGCUGUAAACAUAAAUGUGCCCAAGUUUCAGAAUAUUUAUGAUAGAACUCCAACAGAAUCACAGUAGGUACAAUUGCAAUCCUGAAAGUAACACACAUUAUAAUACAACACAAGCAUAUUUGGCAAUGUAUUUAAUUCUCAACGUUGCAAAAUCAGGAAGAGGCCGGGCGUGGGAGUCUCUUGGCUAUUUCCUGACAAAUCAAACCACCAUGAAAACAUAUUCUAGUCAAGAAAAAGAUGAUUAUUCUAGUAAGCUCGAAAGCUAAACAUUUCAUAGUUAUCAUUCAAUUGAGGCCGCUCUUGUUUGGGCCCCUUUUCCAAUAAUACAUUUUUCUCCAAACUCAUUUUCAAUCACAUAUUCUCUUAAUUAAAUAAUAUUAGACGCAUAACAUAGAAAUUUUUCCUACUUUUCAACCACACGUUCUCCAAAAAUCCAUUAUUCCAAAAUCUAUUUUUACCAAAUAAUGGGGCUCAAACAAGGGCAUAGUAGGAAACAAGGAAUUGUGCAGAGAAAAN